AGAUUGAACGCUGGCGGCAGGCCUAACACAUGCAAGUCGAGCGGCAGCACGGGUACUUGUACCUGGUGGCGAGCGGCGGACGGGUGAGUAAUGCCUAGGAAUCUGCCUGGUAGUGGGGGAUAACGCUCGGAAACGGACGCUAAUACCGCAUACGUCCUACGGGAGAAAGCAGGGGACCUUCGGGCCUUGCGCUAUCAGAUGAGCCUAGGUCGGAUUAGCUAGUUGGUGAGGUAAUGGCUCACCAAGGCGACGAUCCGUAACUGGUCUGAGAGGAUGAUCAGUCACACUGGAACUGAGACACGGUCCAGACUCCUACGGGAGCAGCAGGUGGGGGAAAUAUUGGACAAGUGGGG
rnacentral:rRNA from 1 species